UACGUAGGGUGCAAGCGUUAAUCGGAAUUACUGGGCGUAAAGCGUGCGCAGGCGGUUUUGUAAGUCUGUCGUGAAAUCCCCGGGCUUAACCUGGGAAUGGCAUUUGUGACUGCACGGCUAGAGUGUGGCAGAGGGGGGUAGAAUUCCACGUGUAGCAGUGAAAUGCGUAGAGAUGUGGAGGAAUACCGAUGGCGAAGGCAGCUCCCUGGGAUAACACUGACGCUCAUGCACGAAAGCGUGGGGAGCAAACAGG
rnacentral:rRNA from 1 species